AUUGAACGCUGGCGGCAUGCUUUACACAUGCAAGUCGAACGGCAGCACGAAAGAGCUUGCUCUUUUGGUGGCGAGUGGCGAACGGGUGAGUAAUGCAUCGGAACGUACCGAGUAAUGGGGGAUAACUGUCCGAAAGGAUAGCUAAUACCGCAUACGCUUUGAGAAGGAAAGUGGGGGCUCUUCGGACCUCACGUUAUUCGAUCGGCCGAUGUCUGAUUAGCUAGUUGGUGGGGUAAAGGCCUACCAAGGCGACGAUCAGUAGCGGGUCUGAGAGGAUGAUCCGCCACACUGGGACUGAGACACGGCCCAGACUCCUACGGGAGGCAGCAGUGGGGAAUUUUGGACAAUGGGCGCAAGCCUGAUCCAGCCAUGCCGCGUGUCUGAAGAAGGCCUUCGGGUUGUAAAGGACUUUUGUUAGGGAAGAAAAGGAUAGUGUUAAUACCAUUAUCUGCUGACGGUACCUAAAAAAUAAGCACCGGCCAACUACGUG
rnacentral:rRNA from 1 species